UACGUAGGGAGCAAGCGUUGUCCGGAAUCAUUGGGCGUAAAGCGCGCGUAGGUGGCUUUGUAAGUCCGUUGUGAAAGUCAAAGGCUCAACCUUUGAAAGCCGAUGGAUACUGCGGAGCUAGAGUACGGAAGAGGCGAGUGGAAUUCCUGGUGUAGCGGUGGAAUGCGCAGAUAUCAGGAGGAACACCAAUAGCGAAGGCAGCUCGCUGGGACGUUACUGACACUGAGGCGCGAAAGCGUGGGGAGCGAACAGG
rnacentral:rRNA from 1 species